CACGGGGUUUAAUUGUAUGUAUCACUUGAAGCUGAUUGCUUGAUUUUUCUUUUUUAUUUUAAAGUAAAAGUUAAAGCCCAGAACUGGUUUACGUCUGACUUUCUUAGUGAAGCCCCUCUACAGCCAGAGGGGAGGUUUGCGGCGCAUGGGACCCGCGUGCUGUGACCAGGCGCCCUGGCCCAGAGGCGAGGCCCUGUGCCCGCGCCUGACCCCUGCGGCAGCUGGGCCUGGGCGGCCCCUUCCUCUCUCCUGGCAUGCAGUUCCUCGUCUGCAAAAGCAAGUGCUUGAGCCGCAUGGCAAAGUACUGUGGAUCCUAAAACGUUAUUAUGCCAGUGCGUUUGUAGUUAUAGGAUGUUAGUCCACGUUCCCUUGUAGAACAAUUAAAGUUCCUACAGGAUAUGAAGACCGCGGCCCUUGAGUUGGUAAUGUGUUUUGUUCAGGUGUGUCAGGUUUUGUUUUGUUUUUUCUGUCGCAAAUGCAGUGGAUUAUUAAGCAUCUUUACCCUUCACCACCUCUUCAUGAGUGUCUGCAGACGCUGUUUUAUGUGAGUGAACCAGCGGUACGGUUUUUUAUUCCUCUGCAUGAUAACUCAGCUUUGACAUAAAGGGGAGCGAAUGCCCUCCGCACGUGGUACAGUCCGGGGUGGAGUGUGGGUUGCUGCCCGUGUGAGACCCCGUCGUGCCAUGGCUUUCCACAGUGGGCUCCAGCUCCACAGGUGCACUUGUCACUUUGAUAGGUUCACAGGACGUUGUAAACACGUUCCGAGAGGUCCCCUGUAUACCUCACCCGCUUCCCCCUACUCGUUACAGCCUACCUGACUGUAGGACAGUAUCAGAGCCAGGAAGCUGACGCUGGUCCGAGGUGCGUGUGGUUCUUUGUCAUGUUGCCGCACGUGUAGAUCUGUGUGAUCGCCGCCUCCCCCAAGGCGCGUGGCUCUCGCCCCGCCACCCAGUUCUCCCUUGCGCUCCUCACAUCUAACCGCCUCCCGCCCCGAGACCCCUGGCAGCCACGAACCUGUUCUCUGUCUCCGUGACUUUGUCAUUUUGCGAUGUGACAUAAAUGGGAGUUUGGCUCUUCCAGGCUCGGCAUCACGCCUUCCGUGCAGGCCGUGUGGGGCAGUAGUUCGUUCCUUUUUAUUGCUGAGUAAUCAGUGUCCCGCUGUGUGGGGUUCCGCCUGUGUUUCCUGGGGGACACAGUGGCCGACCCCAGUGUUUGGCCCCUACAGAUAAAGCUGCUUUGAGCAGCCACGGGCAGGUUGAGAGUAGACGGUGACCUUCCUUCCUCUGGGAUAAACGCCAGGAGUGCCGUUGAUCAUUGCAUCAUCAGGGUAUGUUUAGCUCAAGAAGCUGCUGACUCAUCUCCCACAGGGGCUGCGCCGUUUGGCAUUCCCAGCGCCAGGGCAGGGGAGACGCGGCUUCCCCGCUCCCUCGCCGGCGCCUGGUGGUGUGGCUGCUUUUCUGUUGUAGCUGCUCUCCGAGGUGCCUCGCCAUCGCUUUGCACUUCCCAGUCGGCUGCUGGUGCUGCACGUCUGUCCGUGUGCUUAUUUGCCAUCUGGGCGUCCUCUGCGGUGAAGCGCCCCUCCGUAUCUUUUGUCCGCUUUCUAACUGAAUUGUUUGUUUUUUACUGUUGGGUUUUGAGAGCUCUUUACACAUUCUGGAUGGUCCUUUGUGCGACGUGUGGUUUGACAUUCUUUCUGCCAGCCGGAAGCUUGUCAGCAUCCUCUGAUGGGCUCUUUGCACAGCAAGAGUUUUUAGUGUUGACAAAGUCCAGUUUGAUUUUUUCUUCUUCUUCUUCUUUUAUAGAUCGUGCUUUUGGUGUCGUGCCUUCAUCAAGCCCUAGGUUGGUGUGGAUUUCUUUGAGUUUAUCCUGUUUGGGGUUCAGUCAUCUUCUUGAAUCUGUUAAGUUUACUUUAUUGCCAAAUUUGGGGAAUUUUCAGCUAUUUUUUUUACCCCACCCAGUUUCUGUUCUCUUUCUGGGCCUUGGAUAACGUGAAGGUUAGGCCUUUUGUUGUAGCUCCAUAGGCCCCUGAGACUCCAGUCAUUUAUUUCAGUCUCUUUUCUCUUUGUGGUUCAGGUGGGGUAAUUUUUAUUGUUCUAGCUUUGAGUUCACAGAUUACUUUCUCUGUUCUUUUCAUUCUGUUUGAGCCUACUCACUGAAUAUUUGUUUCAGUUAUUAUAUUUUUUUUAGUUCUAAAAUUCCCUUUGGUUCCUCCUCAUAUCUUCUCUUUGCUGAGAUUUUCUCUUUCUUGUAAUUGCUCAUUGGAGUUUUUAUAAUGGCUGCUCUAAAGUCCUGGAAAGAUAAUUCUGACACCAGCGUCAUCCUGUGUUGGUGUCUGUUGACGCCUUUUCUCAUUUUGUUUGAGAUUUUCCUCAUAAUUGAAAUCUGCACAUUUGGGGUAUAAUCUUUGAAGACUUUGGAUCUUAUUUAAAUCCAGUAUUUUAUCAGCCCUCCUCUGACAUGGCUCUGGGAGAAGGGGGGACACCCCCUAUUAUUUCCCACGUGGCUGCCACUGAGGCUGAGGGCGAGUGCAGGCGCACACCCCUGCUGCUUGCUGUCUGCACCGGCCUGGGUGUCCCCGCGUCCUCAGUGGGAAUGACGUGUCUCCUAGCCCCUCAGUGGGCACAGCCUGUGUCCCCUGUCCUCGGUGCGGACGGCGUGUGUUGUCUGCUCCUCAGUGGGGGUGGUGUGAGCCCCCUGUCCUGGGUGGGGACGAUGUGUGUCCCCGCCCUCCGGGGGGGUGGUGUGCUUGGCAGGGGCUGGUCUCCACCGUGGCUUUGGUGGCUGAGCCAGACCUCGUCCGUCACCAGCCUCACUCGCCGUGGUGCCAUCUCAUCCUGCCGCCCAUUUCAGCGCCCUUCCUCCCCGCCAACAGGAUCAGACAAACCUACUGUGAACUGUUAUAAGCUGUGUGACCUGUCUUCCCAUUCAGAGUUUUCCAUUUAAUUAACAGCUUUCUGCUGUGAAACCCUGGGUGCUGUUAUUGCUGCCUUGAAGCAGGUCUCUGUCGAAAUCUA